rnacentral:rRNA from 1 species
UACGAAGGGUGCAAGCGUUACUCGGAAUCACUGGGCGUAAAGCGUGCGUAGGCGGUUGAUUAAGUCUGCUGUGAAAGCCCUGGGCUCAACCUGGGAACUGCAGUGGAUACUGGUCAGCUAGAGUGUGAUAGAGGAUGGUGGAAUUCCCGGUGUAGCGGUGAAAUGCGUAGAGAUCGGAAAGAACACCAACGGCGAAAGCACUCUGCUGGGCCGACACUGACACUGAGAGACGAAAGCUAGGGGAGCGAAUGGG